UGAUUCUCCUGCCUCAGCUUCCCGAACAGCUGGGAUUACAGGCUAACAUGGUAUUUUGGACCAAUCCCCUUGCUGAGGACAACCAAAAAGAUUGGAUGAAGUAUAAAAAGCACUUACUUGAAAGCAUCAAAGACGUCCAAGAUAGUGAGGAAGUUUAAAGUCAAGAUCUAGGAAAAGACAAGAAACUAGAGAAAGAAACCCAGCCGUAAAAUCACUUUUUUUCCCCCCUGCGGGCUUCUGCCAAGUCUGGGGAAGCAGCUGCAAAGCUAAACUAUAUUUUUUGAUGAUUCCUCAGAGCCGGACAAACAGAAGUCAGAAACUAAAACCUGCCAGGAAUAGGGAUUCAGGAGUAGGGAUUUAAUAACUCAAGCCCCCUUCGAGCUGAGAAUCUGAAAGGCCACACUCUCAAUAUGAGGAGUAGCUGCUAGGAAACCAGCCCUGGCACAGAAUUGUAGUCAGUUUUGCAUCAUUUAACAGUACAAGUAAACUUCAACUCUGACAUUAUAUUAAGAUAUUUCUGGAAUGAUAACACACACUGCUAUUUGCAGCAGCAAAUGAAUAUCCUCUCAAGAGAAAGACAUCAUCAUAACAGGCCUCAGCACUUCCUCCAUAUGACUUAUAAAAUAUAAUUUCCAUCAUACAAUGAAAAAUAAGGGUUUACAAGGCAACAAGAUCACUGAAUGAGUAACAGAAGACAGAGAAGCUACAAAAAAAGCCUCCAAAACAUGAAUUAUUGAAAUGAUCAGAUAUGGUUCACAAAAUAACGAUGCUUUUUACAUUUAUGAAAUAAAUUCCAAGCUUAAAAACAUCCGUGAAAAGGAAACUCUAAAAUUUAAUGUGACAUAUUAAGAAAAAAAUCCAAAAAUAUAAUACUCAAAAUUAAGAUGGGCUUAAGAGCAAAUGAAAUGUAGCUAACAUUUUUAAAUGGAAGACAAGAAGAAAACAUCCUCCAGAAUGCAGCACACAGAAAUAAAAGGGAAGAAUUGGAAAAGAGUGGAUAAGAGGCAUAAGUGGUCAGUGACAAGUUGUAGCCCAGAAAGUGUGAAGGGAAUGGGACAGAUAUAAAAUUGGAAGAAAUAACAGCUCUGAAUUUUUCAAAAGUAAAAACGAUAUCAAUCUACAACUUUAAGAAUCUCCAUAUAUCCUAAGCAAAAUAAAUUAUAAGAAACUCACACCCAGACAUUGCAGCAAAACUUCAGACAACAAUAGACAGAGACAAAAAUCUUAAAGCAUCAGAAAAGAAGCAGUUACUUUCAAAGGAAGAACAGUUAGACUGAGAACUGACUUCUCAAUAGUAACAAAGGAAGCCAGCGAGCAAUGGAAGGGUUUUCAAUUAACACUGAAGUUUGAUAAGGCAAAAAACAAAAACAAAAACAAAAAAACAUGUUGUUACUUGUAGUUAAAUUACUUUAAAAAAUUGAAAAAUUACAACUGUGAAGAUAGUACAGACAAAAAUUGGAAUGAUAAAAAAAUCCAAAUAGAACAGUUGGGAUAAGUAGCACAAAAUAAGAUGAUAAAUUUAACUCAAAUAUAUCAGUAAUUACAUUGAAUAUAAAAGGAUCAAAAACUCAAUUUGAAAGCAAAAUGUGCAAAUUCGAUUGAAAACAAAAGAAAAUGCAAUUAUGUACUGUUUAUAAAAACUUAUCUAAAAUAUAAGGAUAUAGAAAAUUUGAGAGUAAAAAGAAAAAAGAAUCCUUUAGACACCAACCCAAAGAAAUCAGCUAUAGCUAUACUAAUAUACCGUUUUUAUAUAAUAAAUACAGUAUAAUAAACUCUAUAGAUAAAUACAUCUCUACAUAAUGAUAAAAUGUCCUAUUUACCAUGAGGAUUUAAAAUUUGCACACAACUAAUAACAAGGCCUCAAAAUAUGUGAGGGAAACAUUGACAUAAUUAAAUGAAAAAUAAAUCCACAAUCAUAGUGAGACAU
rnacentral:lncRNA from 1 species